AAGUUAUGGCACAAAUUUCUUCCAUAUUUCCUGUUUUAAGGAAAACACGUUUCCUUGAUUUUAGGCCAUGAUUCCAUGCAUGGUUUCCUCUUUUUCGCUCCUUGUUUUGUUCCAGGUUUCCUUAUUCUGGGUGCAUACGCUUCUUCUCAAUGCCUAUAUAAGGCAUCAAGCAUUUGGAGCAAAUUGCAAUUGAUUCAGCAAUCUACACACUUGAGAAAAA